rnacentral:lncRNA from 1 species
CUUGGAAGAGUUUUUUUUUUUUUCUCCUGCAGCUUUCAGAGAAAUGGAAAAUUGCCUAUCUUCUAGUUUCUCUUCUUCACUUUUAUGUACAGGAAAGCCUGGUAAUCAAGGAAGGGCAGAAAACAAAGCUGAAGCACACACCCGUAAUUGCAAUUGCCUUUUAAAAAGAUGAAGGUCUCAGUCUCAAAAAAAAAACGGGACACUCUCAAGGCAGAGGACAAAGCAAGGAUCCCAAUGACCACAGUAUACCUUGGAAUCCUUGUGCUCAGAGACCCGCAAGCUGCAUAAAUGUGACUGCCAUGGGAGUUCGCAGAAGUAUCUCAUGAAAUGGCCUCUUAUGAAGCCCAAGACAGGAAGCAGCAGGUACAGGAUUCAGCAGAGGUGAGGUGCUGGCAGUGUACCCAUGUGUGCAUUUGGCUACUCAAAAGUGAUUAGAAUGAAAGGUCGAUUGACAGGCCUCUAAUAUAUGUAUUUUUCUAAUACUAUAAGCUAAUCUCUUCCCCUGCAGUAAAAGAUAAGGCAUUCUUGUUUAAUAAUUCCAUGACUAAUAUUUUAUGGGCAACAUUGAUUCUAGAAAGCAAAUAGCUAAAAGGAGGGCUAUGCUAAAAACUGGAGAAAGAAACAAAAUGGAUUUGAAGACAUAGAUAAUAAAUCAUCCACAGACAUAAACAUUGAGGAAAAUACAUAGAAAGUAGGAGGACACAGAAGAAUAUUUCUCAAAGUUGGUGUGCGGAAGUAGUGGGAACCAAAUAAGCAAGACAUUAUUCUCUUCAUUAUUGAGUGGCCUGGCUAAUUUAAGAGAUUGGAGAUUCUGUGGAGGUAUGAUUGUAUACUAUUUAUGUGAGAAUUCAUCACAGAUGUGAUUGAUGCUUGGUUAACAACACCACAUACAUACCACCAACACCACUAACGCCACAUAAGGUGGUAUUAGUGUGACUAAGACCACAGAGAAAAGUGAUUCUUAGUAGAAGUAAAUGCACCACUUUUCAUGUGUGACUUCAAUGCAGAAGGAAUGAGAAGAGACACACAAAAGCAGACUACACAGUAAGAGCCUGAAG